rnacentral:lncRNA from 1 species
CAUACAAAAUAAAAAUGAUAGAUCUUACCAAUUAACAGAAGUUAGAUGCAAGGGUCCAGAGAGGUAAAAAUUCUCAGAGGCCAUUACACCUUACUUUCCCCCACACCUACCUUGAACCUUCCUUCUUAAUUCUUCAUACAGGCACUGUCACAAAUUAAUUUACCUUGUAAUUACUUGUAAUCACGGAACGCCAAUAGAGAAAGGCAUCAAUCAAAUUUACUUGACAAUAGAAACCAUUUUUAAGGUACAAAGCAAAAUGGAUCGAGUAUCGGUCAAUAGUAUAUUAAAUGAUGUGAUACAGGAGUUUGGAUAAGAAAAUCAAAAAGAAGUGGUUCUCAUGAUUUCAAUUAAUUAAUAUCAUCAAUUAAAUGAAUAAUUUCCUGUUGACUACAAGCAAGAAAAUUCAGAAACCAAAGUUAACUAACUUCCUCAAACAAAGUAUUCAUUUAAGAAAAAAGGGUUGAUAGUUACUGCAACAAAAAAAGGAAGUAGAGUUCAACCUUGGAGAUUGUAGAAUUCAAUUAGCUGAAACAUUAUAAAGUAAACAUUGACCUUGUAUAACAAAAAUGGGGGAAAAAUA